rnacentral:rRNA from 1 species
GACGAACGCUGGCGGCGUGCUUAACACAUGCAAGUCGAACGGAAAGGCCCUGCUUGCAGGGUACUCGAGUGGCGAACGGGUGAGUAACACGUGGGUGAUCUGCCCUGCACUUCGGGAUAAGCUUGGGAAACUGGGUCUAAUACCGGAUAGGAGCCAUCUUUAGUGUGGUGGUUGGAAAGUUUUUUCGGUGUAGGAUGAGCUCGAGGCCUAUCAGCUUGUUGGUGGGGUAAUGGCCUACCAAGGCGGCGACGGGUAGCCGGCCUGAGAGGGUGUACGGCCACAUUGGGACUGAGAUACGGCCCAGACUCCUACGGGAGGCAGCAGUGGGGAAUAUUGCACAAUGGGCGCAAGCCUGAUGCAGCGACGCCGCGUGGGGGAUGAAGGCCUUCGGGUUGUAAACUCCUUUCGCUAGGGACGAAGCUUUGUGUGACGGUACCUAGAUAAGAAGCACCGGCUAACUACGUG